GUGGGGAAUCUUCCGCAAUGGACGAAAGUCUGACGGAGCAACGCCGCGUGAGUGAAGAAGGUUUUCGGAUCGUAAAGCUCUUUCGUUAGGGACGAACGUGCUCUUUGUGAAUAAUGAGGAGUAAUGACGGUACCUAAAUAAGAAGCCACGGCUAACUACGUGCCAGCAGCCGCGGUAAUACGUAGGUGGCAAGCGUUGUCCGGAAUUAUUGGGCGUAAAGCGCGCGCAGGCGGGAUAUCAAGUCUGUCUUAAAAGUGCGAGGCUCAACCUCGUGAGGGGACAGGAACUGGUAUUCUUGAGUGUCGGAGAGGAAAGUGGAAUUCCAAGUGUAGCGGUGAAAUGCGUAGAGAUUUGGAAGAACACCAGUGGCGAAGGCGACUUUCUGGACGAUGUCUGACGCUGAGGCGCGAAAGCUAGGGGAGCGAACGGGAUUAGAAACCCCUGUAGUCC
rnacentral:rRNA from 1 species